rnacentral:lncRNA from 10 species
GCCAGCCUGCAGAGAGGCUGGGCCCAGCGCCCUGACUGACCCAGCCCCGCCACGUCCAAGGUUCCCGCCCUCUGGAGGAAGCCGCGCAAUCACUCCGGGGGCGGGGAGAGACAGACAACUGAGAGGAAGGAGGUACCACGGGCACUCUCUCGCGAGAGGGCCGCAGAGCCGCCUUUGACGGGGGCGUGUACCUGGAGAGCAACGCUCUUGACAAAAUUCUCAGGGAAAACUCUUCAGCUCUGGAUGUCUCCCUUUUUGUGGAUCAAACACAAAGGGCAUCAUUCUAAAAUAUAUACAGAACCAUAAAAGCCCCAAAUAGCCAAAGCAACCCUGAGCAAAAAGAACAAGGCUGGAAGCAUCACACUACCAGACUUCAAAAUUUACUACAAAGCUCUAAUACCUAAAAUAACAUGGUACUGGCAUUAAAAAAAAAAAAAAAAUAGGCACAUAGACCACCAAUGAAACAGUAUAGAGAAUCUAGAUAUACCAACUCAUCUUUAACAAAGGUGCCAAGAACAUACAAUGAGGAAACGAUGGUCUUUUCAAUAAAUGGUGUGGGGGAAAGCUAGAUAACUAUAUGCAGAAGAAUGAAACAAGAUUCCUCUCUCUCGCUAUACACAAAAAUCAAAUCAAAAUGGAUUAAAGGCUUAAAUCUAAGACCUGAAACUACAAAACUAGAAGAACACACUGGAGAAGUGCUCCAGGACCUUGGUCUGGGAAAAGAUUUUUUUGUUUAAGACCUCAAAAGCACAGACAACAAAGCAAAAACAGACAAAUGAGAUUACAUUAAGCUAAAAAGUUUCUGCACAGCAAAGGAAACACUCAACAGAGUGGGGGAGACAACCCACAGAAUGAGAGAAAACAUUUUCAAACUAUCCAUCCGACAAGGGAUUAAUGACCAGAAUAAAGAGACCAAACAAUUUAAGCCAAAAACAAAACAAACAAACACACAAAAAAAACAAAAGCCAAAUAAUCUAAAAAGUGGGCAGGUUGGGUGGGGUGGCUCAAGCCUAUAAUCCCAGCACUUUGGGAGGCCAAGGCAGGCAGGUCAAGAGAUCGAGACCAUCCUGGCCAACAUGGUGAAACCCCAUCUCUACUGAAAAUACAAAAAAAAUUAGCCGGGUGUGGUGGCAUGUGCCUGUAGUCCCAGCUACUUGGGAAGCUGAGGCAGUGAGAAUCGCUUGAACCUGGGAGGCAGAGGUUGCAGUGAACCAAGAUCACACAACUGCACUCCAGCCUGAUGACAGAGCGAGACUCCAUCUUGAAAAAAAAAAAAAAAAAAGUGGGCAAAAGAUCCAAACAGACAUUUCUCAAAGGAAGACAUAAAAAUGGCCAACAGGUAUAUGAAAAAAUGCUCAACAUUACUAAUCAUUAGAGAAAUGCAAAUUAAAACAACAUGUUAUUUCACCCCAGUUAAAAUGGCUUGUAUUAAGAAAACAGAUAAUAACAGAUGCUAGUGAGGAUGUGGAGAAAAGAGAACCCUCAUACACUGUUGGUAGAAAUGUAAACUAGUACAACCACUAUGAAGAACAGUAUGGAAGUUCUUCAAAAAACUAAAAAUAGAAUUACCAUAUGAUCCAGCAAUUCCACUACUGAAUAUGUAUCCAAAAGAAAGGAAAUCCGUAUAUCAAAAAGAUAUCUGCACUCCCAUGUUUAUUGCAGCAUUGUUCACAAUAGCCAAGAUAUGGAAUUAACCUAAGUGCCCAUCAAUGGGUGAAUGGAUAAAGUGUGGUGGAUGGAAAGCCGAUUUCCAGUCUUUAUGAUAACGCCGAUGUUCCACUUGGGAAAGAUACUGUACAACAAUGAAAGUAGCCCUUUCUUUUGUCUUUCAAAGAAUGUAUUUUUAACAAACAGCCUCUGUGUGAUCCUUUUGACCACACAAUUUGUAGAGUUAACGCUGAAAUUUUCAUUAGCAACAAUGAAAGCACACACAGGCACAAUAUUAAUAUAGAUUAAUAUCAGCCUAUUUUGGUCAGAAAGGCUCAUUUAAAUGUUUAAGAGACAGAAGUCCCAAAUUGUAGUAAUUUCUUCCACUAGCAGGAGGAAGCUCAGAAUUAGUUUUUCUACAACACUAGAGGAAUACUACUCAAAAAUAAAAAGGAAUUAACCAUUGAUACAUGCAACAACACAGAUGAAUCUCAAAGUAAUUGUGCUGAAAGAAACCAGACCCAGAAAAAGAUAAAUUCUAUAUGAUCUCAUUUAUAUAAGACUCUAGGAAAUGCAAACUAAUCUACACAUACAGAAAACUGAGGGCAGGUACUGAGAAGGGUAGGAGGGGGGCGUUACAGAGAGGCAUGAGGAAACUUUUUGGGGUGAUAGAUAUGUUUACUACUUUGAUUGUAAGGAUGAGGUCGCAACUCUGUGCGUGUCAGUGGUAUAUUUUAAUAUGAACGGCUUAUUUUAUGUAAAUUCUACCCCUAUAAAGCUGUUUUUUUUAAAAAAAAAAACUUCUCUUUGAGAGACAUCACCUUUGUCUUUUAAACCAUCUAAUGUUGAAUCUAAAAGUUCAGUGUAAAGUUUAAUAAAAUCAGAGUGUGUAUGUGUCUUAAUUUCCAGGACAUAUAAUCAUAGUGAUUAAGCCAAAAGUGCUUAUAUGAUUACCUAUAAACUAUCAUAGUUAAAUGACUAAAUACCCUGCAUAAGGUAAAAUGAUUAUUUUAUUCCUAUAGAUUGAAAUUGCCCAACUUUUUAUUAGAGAAUAAUAGAUUAGAGGGCAUGUUGGCUCAUACCUGUAAGCCCAAUGCUUUGGGAGGCUGAAGCGGGAGGAUCCCUUGAGGCCAGGAGUUGAAGAUCAGCUUGGGCAACAUAGCAAGACCACAUCUCUACAAAAAAAUUUAAAAUAAAAUGUUUAUCCAAGCAUAGUGGCACUCACUCACCUGUAGUACUAGCUGCUGAGGAAGCUGAGGCCUGGAGUUCAAACUGCACAACGCUGCACUUCAACCUAUGUGACAAAGUGAGAUCCUAUCUCUAAAAUAAUUAAUUCAGUUUUUAUAAUUAGGGAACAUUUAAAUUCAGAUUAUAAGUAAAAAAUGGAAUAAACAGUCCUGUUACCUGAUAUGGUUUGGAUCUCCAUCCCUACCCAAAUCUUAUGUUGAAAUGUAAUCCCCAAUGCUGGAGGUGGGGCCUGGUGGGAGAUGAUUGGAUCAUGGUGGUGGUUUCUCAUGGUUUAACACCAUCGUCCCCUGGUGCUGUCGCCGUGAUGAUGAAUUCUCACGAGAUCUGGUUGGUUUAAAAGUGUGUGGCACCUCCCCCUUCUCUCUUGCUCCUGCUCCUACCAUGUGAGAUGCCUUGGUCCCCCUUUGCCUUCCGCCAUGAUUCAGAGUUCUCUGAGGCCUCCCCAGAAGCAGAUGCUGCCAUGCUUUCUGUACAGCCUGCAGAACCGUAAGCCAAUUAAACCUCUUUUCUUAUACAUUACCCAGUGUCAGAUAUUUCUUUAUAGCAGUGUGAGAAUGGAUUAAUACACUACGUCAUGCAAAAUGUAAAAACAGGCAACUCACUGAGAGUAAACCUAAUCAACUUGUUCAUUUAGAUAUAAACUGUAGAGACGACACUGCCAUCUAGUUGUUGAAUACUGAGUAUACUGUUGAAACAUUCUUGACAAUGUUCUAUUUCUCUUUUGUAGACUUACAAGGAACACACAGAAGCCCCUAACCAAUUACAUCUCCUUCCUAGGAGUGUGAAUGUGACUGCCAUAGUGCAGCCCAUGCUGCCCCUGGUAAUUAUAUGCCUCAACCCAAGCAGGAGCUUGUGAAAAAUGUGAGAGAAAGGACAAUGUCAUGUACCCCCAGUGUGAAGUAUAGCACCUGGAGAUAGCAGGCAUUCAAUAACUACUGGAUGGAUGGAGGCAUUAUGAAGUUUGCCAAGUUUGUUAACACUACUAAAGGUUUCAAUGAAUGUAAAAACAGUGGCAGAUGGGUGGUUUUCUUGACUGUGGGAAAGGUAAAAUAGUAUAAAGUACUAGCAAGUAUAAACACAGGCAUACCUCAUUUUAUUGCAUUUUGCUUUACUGUACUUUGCAGAUACUGCAUUUUUUACAAAUUAAAGGUUUAUGGCAACCCUCCAACAAACAAGUCUGUUAAUGCCACCCCAAAGUCAUGUGCUCAUUUUGUGUCUCUGUGUCACAUUUUGGUAAUUCCUGCAAUAUUUCAAACUUUGUAUUAUUAUUAUUUCUGUUACAGUGAUCUGUGGUCAGUGAUCUUUGAUGUUACUAUUUUGACCGUUUGUGGGCACCACAAACUGUGCCCAUAUAACAUCAGCGAACUUAAUAAAUGGUGUGUGUGUUCGGACUGCUCUACCAACCGGCCAUCCCCCUAUCUUUCUCCCUCUCCUCAAACCUCCUUAUUCCCUGAGACACAAUACUGAAAUCAGGCCAAUUAAUCACCCUGCAAUGGCCUCCCAGUGUUCAAGUUAAAAGAAGACUUGUACAUCUCUCAUUGUAAAUCAAAAGCUAGAAAUGGUUAAGCUUAAUGAAGAGGCAUGUCAAAAGCCAAGACAGGCUAAAAAAGCUAGGGUCUUGUGCCAAACCAUUAAUUCUUGAAGGAAAUUAGAAGUGUUACUCCAGUAAACACCUAAGAAAACCUUAUUGCUGAUACGGAGAAAAAGUUUUAGUGGUCUGGAUAGAAAAUCAAACCAGCCACAACAUUCCCUUAGGCCAAAGCCUAAUCCAGAGCAAGGUUCUAAAUUCAAUUCUAUGAAGACUGAGAGGUAAGGAAGCUACAGAAGUUUGAAGCUAGUAGAGGUUGGUUUAUGAGGUUUAAAGAAAGAAGUCAUCUCCAUAAAUAAAAGUGCAAGGUGAAGCAGAAAGUGCUGAUGUAGAAGCUGCAGGAGUUUAUCCAGAUCCAGCUAAGACCAUUGUUAAAGGUGGCUAUACUCAGUAACAGAUUUUCAAUGUAGAUGUAACAAGCCUUUUAUUGGAAGAAGCCACCUUAGACUUUCACCGCUACAGAGAAGUCAGUGCCUGGCUUCAAAUCUUCCAAGAACCGGCUGACUUGUUAAAAGCUAAUGCUGCUGGUGACUUUAUAUUGAAGCCAAUGCUCAUUUGCCAUUCUGAAAAUCCUAGGGCCCUUAACAAUUAUGCUAAAUCUACUCUGCCUGUACUCUAUAAAUGGGACAAAGCCUGGAAGACAGCACAUCUGUUUACAGCAUGAUUUACUGAAUAUUUUAAGCCCACCAUUGAGAUCUACUGCACAAAAAGAUUCCUUUCAAAAUAUUGCUGCUCAUUAACAAUCAUCUCGUAUCCCAAGAGCUCAGACGGAGAUGGACAACGAGAUUCAUGCUGUUUUCAAGCCUGCUAACACAAUGUCCACUCUAUAGCCCAUAGACCAUGGAGCAAUUUCAACUUUCAAGUCUUAUGAUUUAAGAAAUACAUGUUGUAAGGCUAUUGCUGCCAUAAAUAGUGAUUUCUCUGAUGGAUCUGUGCAAAGUAAAUUGAAAACUUUCUGGAAAGGAUUCACUAUUCUAGAUAUCAAUAAGAACAUUCAUGAUUCAUGGGAUGAGGGCAAAAUAUCAUUUACUGGAGUUUAGAAGUUGUUUCCUGUCCUCAGAGAUGACUUUUAAGGGUUCAAGACUUCAAUGGAGGAAGUAACUGCAGAUGUGGUAGAAAUUGCAAGAUAACUAGAAUUAGGCCAGGUGUGGUGGCUCAAGCCUAUAAUCCCAGCACUUUGGGAGGCUAAAGUGGGCAGAUCGCUUGAGGCCAGGAGUUUGAGACCAGCCUGGAGUGAAACCCUGUCUCUACAAAAAAUGCAAAAAAUUAGCCAGGCAUGGUGGCGUGUACCUGUAGUCCCAGCUACUCUAGAGGCUAAAGUGGGAGGAUCACUUGGGCCCAAGAGGUAGAGGCUGCAGUGAGCUGUGAUGGUGCCACUGCACUCCAGCCCGGGGGCAGAGCAAGACCCUAUCUCAAAAAGAAAAAAGGCCAGACGUGGUGGCUCAUGCCUGUAACUCCAGCACUUUGGGAGGCCAAGGCGGGAAGAUCAUUUGAGCUCAGAAGUUCAAGACCAACCUGGGCAACAUGGCAAAAUCCUGUCUCUACUAAAAAUACAAAAAUUAGCCAGGUGUAGUGGCACGCACCUGCAGUCUUAGUUCUUGGGAGGG